UACGUAGGGUGCGAGCGUUGUCCGGAAUUACUGGGCGUAAAGAGCUCGUAGGUGGUUUGUCGCGUUGUCCGUGAAAACUCACAACUCAAUUGUGGGCGUGCGGGCGAUACGGGCAGACUGGAGUACUGCAGGGGGAGACUGGAAUUCCUGGUGUAGCGGUGGAAUGCGCAGAUAUCAGGAGGAACACCGGUGGCGAAGGCGGGUCUCUGGGCAGUAACUGACGCUGAGGAGCGAAAGCGUGGGGGAGCGAACAGGA
rnacentral:rRNA from 1 species